AGUGAACGCUGGCGGUAGGCCCAACACAUGCAAGUCGAACGGCAGCACAGUAAGCGCUUGCUCUUACGGGUGGCGAGUGGCGGACGGGUGAGGAAUACAUCGGAAUCUACUUUUUCGUGGGGGAUAACGUAGGGAAACUUACGCUAAUACCGCAUACGUCCUACGGGUGAAAGCAGGGGAUCUUCGGACCUUGCGCGAUUGAAUGAGCCGAUGUCGGAUUAGCUAGUUGGCGGGGUAAAGGCCCACCAAGGCGACGAUCCGUAGCUGGUCUGAGAGGAUGAUCAGCCACACUGGAACUGAGACACGGUCCAGACUCCUACGGGAGGCAGCAGUGGGGAAUAUUGGACAAAGGGCGCAAGCCUGAUCCAGCCAUACCGCGUGAGUGAAGAAGGCCUUCGGGUUGUAAAGCCCUUUUGUUGGGAAAGAAAAGCAGCAGGUUAAUACCCCGCUGUUCUGACGGUACCCAAAGAAUAAGCACCGGCUAACUUCGUG
rnacentral:rRNA from 1 species